GACGAACGCUGGCGGCGUGCUUAACACAUGCAAGUCGAACGGAAAGGCCCUGCUUUUGUGGGGUGCUCGAGUGGCGAACGGGUGAGUAACACGUGAGUAACCUGCCCUUGACUUUGGGAUAACUUCAGGAAACUGGGGCUAAUACCGGAUAGGAGCUCCUGCUGCAUGGUGGGGGUUGGAAAGUUUCGGCGGUUGGGGAUGGACUCGCGGCUUAUCAGCUUGUUGGUGGGGUAGUGGCUUACCAAGGCUUUGACGGGUAGCCGGCCUGAGAGGGUGACCGGCCACAUUGGGACUGAGAUACGGCCCAGACUCCUACGGGAGGCAGCAGUGGGGAAUAUUGCACAAUGGGCGGAAGCCUGAUGCAGCAACGCCGCGUGCGGGAUGACGGCCUUCGGGUUGUAAACCGCUUUCGCCUGUGACGAAGCGUGAGUGACGGUAAUGGGUAAAGAAGCACCGGCUAACUACGUGCCAGCAGCCGCGGUGAUACGUAGGGUGCCGAGCGUUGUCCGGAUUUAUUGGGCGUAAAGGGCUCGUAGGUGGUUGAUCGCGUCGGAAGUGUAAUCUUGGGGCUUAACCCUGAGCGUGCUUUCGAUACGGGUUGACUUGAGGAAGGUAGGGGAGAAUGGAAUUCCUGGUGGAGCGGUGGAAUGCGCAGAUAUCAGGAGGAACACCAGUGGCGAAGGCGGUUCUCUGGGCCUUUCCUGACGCUGAGGAGCGAAAGCGUGGGGAGCGAACAGGCUUAGAUACCCUGGUAGUCCACGCUGUAAACGGUGGGUACUAGGUGUGGGGUCCAUUCCACGGGUUCCGUGCCGUAGCUAACGCUUUAAGUACCCCGCCUGGGGAGUACGGCCGCAAGGCUAAAACUCAAAGGAAUUGACGGGGCCCCGCACAAGCGGCGGAGCAUGCGGAUUAAUUCGAUGCAACGCGUAGAACCUUACCUGGGUUUGACAUGGAUCGGGAGUGCUCAGAGAUGGGUGUGCCUCUUUUGGGGUCGGUUCACAGGUGGUGCAUGGCUGUCGUCAGCUCGUGUCGUGAGAUGUUGGGUUAAGUCCCGCAACGAGCGCAACCCUUGUUCACUGUUGCCAGCACGUUAUGGUGGGGACUCAGUGGAGACCGCCGGGGUCAACUCGGAGGAAGGUGGGGAUGACGUCAAGUCAUCAUGCCCCUUAUGUCCAGGGCUUCACGCAUGCUACAAUGGCUGGUACAGAGAGUGGCGAGCCUGUGAGGGUGAGCGAAUCUCGGAAAGCCGGUCUCAGUUCGGAUUGGGGUCUGCAACUCGACCUCAUGAAGUCGGAGUCGCUAGUAAUCGCAGAUCAGCAACGCUGCGGUGAAUACGUUCCCGGG
rnacentral:rRNA from 1 species